rnacentral:misc_RNA from 1 species
ACCAUCAACAUCAUCAACAUCACCACCACCAUCACCAUCAUCAUCAUCAUCAACAACAACACCAUCACCAUCAUCACCGUCAUCAAGCAGCCACGUCAGUGGUAACAAGCACAAUCAAGAAUGCCCUGAUAAGAUAGGAGGAAUUACGAUAGCACUGAUGUACAGCCCCCCUUAUGUCUUUUACAAUACUAAUGGUCGUGUCAAAGACAAUCAAGGGACCAAUGGGAUUAUAGUCGACUGCCUGUUAUUCAGCUUCAAAAUGUGCUAUCAUAGUUGUCCAAGUCCCUUGAAUAUAACAUGGAAGGUUGUCAACACUUCAAAUGAGCUGGAACAAGAGAUCACUUCUGGUCAAAGUGACAUCAUUUUGCCCAUCACAUCAAGAUUAGUGAACAGUUUGAGCUGGCCUGAUUACACAGGAACACCGCUCAGCUUUAACCCUAUCGUCAAAACAAGCAGUCGCGCCCUGAUAAUAAAUAAAAACCAUUUUAAUCAAAAGUCAAUGGAAUUAAUGCUGCAAGCGUUAUUGGAUACUUGGCCGAUAUUCGUUUACACUUUUAUAUUGGCUGGCUUAUCAGGAGUCUGUAUCUGGAUUUUGGAAUCGCGUGGUAACAGUGACGAGUUUCAAAGAACCUUCUUAAAGGGUUGGUGGGAAGGCUUUUGGUGGGCAUUUGUUUCCAUGACAACAGUAGGGUAUGGAGACAAGACCCCCAAGUCCAUAUUUGGCCGUGUAUUUGGUGUGAUCUGGAUACUAGUCGGUAUCGUGAUUGUAGCCAUGUUCACAGCUACAGUAACCAACGCCUUGACUUUGAUUAACUCAGGCAUUGAAAACAAAAAGGUUGCUGUCUUGUCAUCUACUGGAGCAUCAAUUGACGCGAUAAACAAAGGAACUCAGCCCAUAGAAUACGGUUCAUUCCAAGAAAUGUACGAAGCGCUGGAGUCGCAACAAGUGGAGGGGAUUUACAUUGAUCAGUACGUGGGAGCCCAUUACAUGAAGGAGAUCUCCGAUGAAGAUUUGCGAGUUUUGACCAUCGUUGACACUGAGAUCAACUAUUUAUUAGCAGUAAACGCUAAUACCUAUAAAGAAAUAACCAAGAACGUAUGUGUACUAGAAGCUUUAGGACACACUUCUUGUGAUCGCCUAUUACAGAAGUAUUUAUUACCAAUCAAGAGUUUCAGCUUUAAUGAAGACUACAAAGGUCUCUUAUCCAGCAGUUCGGAGGAACACUAGCAAGUUUAGGUCUCCAAUGUUGGUUGGUGUGUUCCUUAGUCAUAAUUGAAUUUUUUUAUGGAAAAAUAGAAAACUUGAAGUCGUAUAUAAGCAUGCAGUAAAUUGCCAGAACACAAGAUAGUAAGUAGUGGAGUGCUUCUCAACACUUCUCAAGUUUCUGCUAAUCUCUAAGAGCUCAAUAAGAUCACAUGUACCAGGGCUUCAAAUACCAGCCAGACAUCGGACAAUGUCCACUCAGAAUUGCAACUUGUCUGGUGAAAUCUUUGCCUUGCUGGUUGUUUCAACUAAUAAUGUUUAGCCAAAAAUGAGAUCCCCACAGUUGUAGAUGUCAUCAUGUUGGGUGCUUCAUUUGCCCCAGUAACAUCCUGUCAGAAGACAUUAUUG